GUGUACGGCCAUACCACCAUGAACGCGCCCGAUCUUGUCUGAUCUCGGAAACUAAAUAGGGUCAGGCCUGGUUAGUACUUGGAUGGGAGACUGCGUGGGACUACUGGGUGCUGUAGGCU
rnacentral:rRNA from 1 species